UACAGAGGGUGCGAGCGUUAAUCGGAAUUACUGGGCGUAAAGCGCGCGUAGGCGGCUUUGCAAGUCGGGUGUGAAAUCCCCAGGCUUAACCUGGGAACUGCAUUCGAGACUGCAUUGCUAGAGUAUGGGAGAGGGAAGUGGAAUUUCCGGUGGAGCGGUGAAAUGCGUUGAUAUCGAUAGGAACUCCGGUGGCGAAGGCGGCAUACUGGACCGGUAUUGACGCUGAUGCGCGAAAGCCAGGGGAGCAAACGGG
rnacentral:rRNA from 1 species